rnacentral:lncRNA from 7 species
GUCAGAUGCAGAUAUUGGGAUUCACCCUUGGAGCAAUGCAGCUAUUGUUCAUCUGAGCACGCCUCGAAAUCAUCCAUCCGAGCACAUCUUGUCCACAAUUACUAACUGAGCCACAAAGGAAUCCCACUUUGCUUGAGAUUUACCAAAUGGUUUUUUCGUCUAUUGUGACACACUGUGUUCCUGGGCUAGACAUUCUAUAAUUUAUAACAGACUUCGUUUCAGCUUUG